rnacentral:rRNA from 1 species
AUGCAGCCGCGGCCCCUGGCGGCGGCGGCGGUGGCCGCCACCGCGCCUUUCCCGCCGUCAUGGGCGCACCAGGUCCGCGGCGCGGCGACCCAGGGGGACUUCCACCACGCCAUCGCCCUCUUCCUCCGGAUGCGCGCCGCCGACGCCCCCGCCGCGCCCCGCUCCGCCGUCCCGGCGUCCCUCCCGGCCGCGCUCAAGUGCUGCUCCGCCCUCGGCCUCCCCGCCCUCGGCGCGUCCCUCCACGCGCUCGCGCUCCGCUCCGGCGCCUUCGCCGACCGCUUCACCGCCAACGCGCUCCUCAACCUCUACUGCAAGCUCCCUGCGGCGCCGUGCCGCUCCCCCGGGACGGAAGACGCGGCAGGGGAGUCGUUGGAGAGCAUGCGGAAGGUGUUCGACGAAAUGACCGAGAAGGACCCCGUGUCCUGGAACACGCUGGUGUUCGGGUAUGCGGAGAAGGGGAGGCACCAAGAGGCUCUGGUAGUGCUCAGGGAGAUGUGGAUAGAUGGGUGCAAGCCAAACUCGUUUACCUUGUCGAGUGUGCUGCCGAUCUUCGCCAAGUGCUCCGACGUCAGGAGGGGAAUGGAAGUCCAUGGCUUUGCAACCAGGAACGGUUUUGUUGAUGAUGUGUUCGUUGGCAGCAGCUUGAUCGAUAUGUAUGCGAACUGCACUCGAACGGAUUACUCGGUCAAGGUGUUCGACAGUCUCCCGUGCCGCGAUGCUAUCCUGUGGAACUCAAUGCUUGCGGGGUGUGCACAGAAUGGGUCUGUGGAGGAGGCUCUUCGAAUAUUUCGCCGGAUGCUGCAUUCUGGAGUUAGACCUCUGCCUCGUACUUUCUCGAGCCUCUUACCUGCCUGUGGAAAUGUUGCUUCGCUGCUUCUCGGCAAGCAGCUGCAUGCGUACGUCAUCUUUGGAGGGUUUGACGGUAAUAUGUUCAUAUCUAGCUCCCUGAUUGACAUGUAUUGCAAAUGUGGAAACGUGAGCAUAGCUCGUCACAUCUUUGAUCGAAUGCAGUCACCUGAUACUGUAUCCUGGACUGCGAUGAUCAUGGGACAUGCUUUACAUGGUCCAGCAAGAGAGGCUCUGUUGUUGUUUGACAGGAUGGAGUUGGGAAAUGUGAAGCCUAAUCAUAUCACGUUUAUAGCCGUUUUAACUGCGUGCAGUCAUGCUGGAUUGGUGGACGAGGGCCGGAAGUAUUUCAACAGAAUGUCGGACCAUUACGGCAUUGUUCCCUCUCUUGAGCAUUAUGGAGCACUUGCAGAUAUUCUUGGCCGUGCAGGGGAGUUGGAAGAAGCCUACAAUUUCAUCUCUAAGAUGCAAAUAAAACCAACCGCAAGUGUCUGGUCCACGUUGUUAAGGGCUUGCAAGGUCAACAAAAAUACCGUGUUAGCUGAAAAAGUUGCCAAGAAAAUCUUUGAGCUUGAACCUAGGAGCAUGGGAUCUCAUGUAAUUUUAUCAAAUACGUAUUCCUGUUCCGGGAGAUGGAAUGAAGCAGCACACCUGCGGCUAUCUAUGAGAAAGAAGGGCAUGAAGAAGGAACCAGCUUGCAGUUGGAUUGAAUUGAAGAACAAACGGCAUGUUUUUGUAGCUCAUGAUAAGUCUCAUCCUUGGUAUGAAAGGAUUAUUGGUGCACUUAAUGUUUUCUCAGAGCAGAUGGCACGUCAAGGUUAUGUUCCCAAUACAGAGGAUGUUUUCCAGGAUCUUGAAGAAGAGCAGAAGAGCGGUGUGUUAUGUGGUCACAGUGAAAAACUUGCUAUGGUAUUUGGUAUUUUAAAUACACCUCCUGGAACAACAGUUCGUGUGAUGAAAAAUCUUCGAAUUUGUGUUGACUGCCACACGGUAACAAAAUUUAUUUCAAAGAUAGCUGAGAGAGAGAUUGUUAUGCGUGAUGCAAACCGUUUCCACCAUUUUAAGGAUGGAAAUUGUUCUUGCGGUGACUUUUGGUGA